rnacentral:ncRNA from 1 species
AAAACGUUAAGAACCAGCUACAAUACAGACUUUACAGCACUUCAUGGUUCACACCAUGGGGUGUUUUUUU